UGUACUUGCGAGGCAGGCGGCAGAAUGACUGAGCUAAAUCCUCGGUCUGCAACCUGGAUUAUUUGAGGUUCUGCGGGAGCUAAGAAGUCUGUCCUUUCUCUCAGUAAGAGAUUCCACUCAGUCCUUUCUGGAGCACAGGAAGAAGAGAGCUGUUCUAACAUUCCUCCACACUGCUGCUUUUCAAGGAUGGUAAUAAGAAAGACAUGGAAGAUACUAAAUUCCCACCUAUGGAAGACUAUUCUCUGACAUGAAUUCCACUUGUGCCAAGGCCAGCAUUUGAGGGCCUUGAAUUUUGGACCUGGAAACUACUGGUCCCAGAUUUAUAACCAUUGCUGUGUCUCAACCAUCUGUUCCCACAUACAUCUAAAAUGUAUGAAAAAAACAUUUGCUCUAAAAGAUACUGGCCAGGAAGUGCAGCGUAGGAAUAUCCCACCUAGCCAGAGUCAUUCAUAUGGACCAAUUUCAGGCUUUGUCCAUUUUAAAGGGGGCAUUUCUCAUUCAUAAUAGAAUCUAUUCCAUGCCAUUGGAAGUAUUAGAAAGCAGUCAGGUCUGCUUUAAAUGUCCAGUGGUAUCUCUCAUCAAAAAUCCUUGGCAAUUUCCAUCUGUAGAGUUAACUAUUCAUGUGGUUCUUGUGAGAGUGAAGAGUCCUUUCAGUAGUUUUCUUCUUGCCCUUCUUUCUUCCUUUUAACAGUCUAUUAUUGAGUCUUUAUACCAUGUCUAGACUUUGAUUCCAGAAGUUAGUUCCACUGUGUCCCUUUCCAAAAGACUCAGUCAUGCCAUGGAAUCAUUUCUAGUACAAAACCAUCAAGUACAGAUGCAGAUAAUUGUCCUGAGCAACAUCUCAAAGACAGAUGAGAAGAUUUUGUACAUGCUAUUUUGACCUUCAAUGGGGAGAAUUUGGCUUUCAGAUGAUUGUGAAGCACAGCUCAUUAUUCUUACCUAUGCCACACCUUUGUCCAUAAAUUUUAGAUUCUCAGGAAACGUACACCCAUCAAAAAUGUAACCCAUUAUCAAAGUGACAAAGAGGUGUCAUGUGUACAGCAAACAUACAAAUUUGUACUCAUCAUAAGCAAGAAAUAAUGUCUCCCCAAGAAAGGACAUUUAGAGAAACCUCAACAUCUUUCAAGUUGAAUCCAAGCCAAAAUUAAGCUCUUUCAAAUUCUGCCUACUGAAUCUGAAUUAAAUCUGAAUUUGAUUAAUUGAAUUACA
ensembl:lncRNA